AAAAACUUAGGUUAAUUAAACCAGGGGCCUUCAAAGCCCCCAAUAAGGACUUAGCCCCUUAGUUUUUG
rnacentral:tRNA from 1 species